GAGAGAGAUCAUUAAUUAAGUCGGUCAAAUGAUGCCACAAGACGUCAAACGGCUCUGAAAGAGCUUUUCAUUUCGCGAUCUCUCUCUUUCUUUUUUUAAUCAUAUUCUUCCUUUUUUCCGUUUAGAUUCUCGAAGGACGUAGAGGGGUGUUUCUUUUUUAUUUUCUCUCUCUAUCUUCAAAAUCUCUGUAUCUCUGAAGCCCUCUUUGAAUUUUUCUCACAAGAGCUUGUUCUGGAGCUGGGUUUCUUGUGGUUUGGGCGGGGACUGUGAGAACCCAGUUGGCUUUUCUUUUGAUUGUGAGAGGUUUAAUGGGGGAUUUGGGUUUGGAGGUUGAACCCAUUUAGGUUUUGGAGUUGUUUCUGCAAUGGCGGAGACGGAUGAAAAUGGUGACUGGAGAGGUCUUAUGGCAAGUCCUAGAGGACUGUUCUCGGCUUUCAUUUCUGAUGGGUUCGCUUCCAGGUCGUCGUUGAAUGGGACUGAUGCUGCUCCGGCGAGUGCCGACGGUGAGCCCGUGAGUUCGGAGAGGAAAGCUGAGGAUGCUGGCGGGGCUGCAGGUAGAAGUAUUGGGUCUGGCGUUAAUGCUCUGACGGAGGUUUCAAGCGUUUGGAAGCCUGAAGGAGUUAGAAAUGGUGCGAGUAUUGCCGAGAGAAGGGCUGCUAUAUGUGGUUUCAGUGCUCCGAGAAUUAACACGGCUCGGUUUAGGUCCGUCAGUCCUUUGUCUUCACCGGGCGUUUGUUCGCCGUAUCUUACUAUACCGCCAGGUCUUAGUCCGACGACGCUGCUCGACUCCCCUGUAAUGCUUCCGAAUUCUCAGCCAUCUCCAACUACUGGGACUUUUCAAUUACCUCCUCUUGGACAAGAAGGUUCCAUGGAAGUUGCUGUAACUUCUAAUUCAGACAAGGAAAAGAGUGAUGAUUCUGAUGCCUCAUUCAUGUUUAAGCCUCAUGUCAAUCCAGAUUCUUUGCCAGGACUUUCUGGUGUUGUAAAUCAUGCUUGCUCUCCCAACCAGACUCAGAAUCUGGAAAAGAGUGGUUCCAAUCAUCAAGGUCAUGCUCGGGUGCAGCAGCAAGUUGAUUUUGAGUGUCAGACAGGGUUUCCAAAACCAGCUAUGCUAGCGGACUGCACAACCAAUCUUCAUUCUGAUGCUGAAGUUUCAAACAACAUGAUUGUGGAUAAUAAGUUCAUUGCUUUGCAAACUUGCCAUUCUGGUGUUGCUAGUGAUCAGGCACCUCUAAUUGAGGAGCCUGUGCAUGGAGAGGAUAAUGGAUCACAACAGCAGCUUUUGGAAGGGGAUCAGAAAGGGUCAUAUGCUUCCCUAGGAUUGGGAAGGCCAUCAGAAGAUGGAUAUAACUGGAGAAAGUACGGACAGAAACAGGUAAAAGGUAGUGAGUUUCCUCGAAGCUACUACAAAUGUACUCACCAGAACUGUCAAGUGAAGAAAAAGGUAGAACGAUCCCUUGAUGGUCAAAUUACAGAAAUUAUAUACAAGGGCGCUCAUAACCACCCAAAACCCCAGCCUAAUCGUCGAUCAGCAAUUGGAUCAGCACUUCCAUUCAAUGACAUGCCAGAGACAGAUUGGCGAGCUGAUGGUUUGGAGAGGACAUCUUCAACUUCUGUUUUAACUGAACUAUCUGAUCCACUAUCAACUGCGCAAGGAAAGCAUGUUAGUAUGGUUGAUUCAGCAGAUACUCCAGAGCUUUCUUCCACACUUGCUAGUCAUGAGGAUGAUGAAGAUAGAGCUACUCAGGGUAGCAUAUCAGUUGGUGAUGAUGGUGAUGAUGAUGAAUCUGAGUCAAAAAGAAGGAAAAAAGAGAGCUGUUUGAUUGAGACAAGUUUGGCAUCCCGGGCCGUCCGUGAACCAAGAGUUGUUGUACAAACAACUAGUGAAGUGGACAUACUGGAUGAUGGAUAUCGCUGGCGCAAGUAUGGGCAAAAAGUAGUUAAAGGCAACCCGAACCCUAGGAGCUACUAUAAAUGCACAAGUGCUGGGUGUUCUGUGAGGAAGCAUGUCGAAAGAGCUUCACAUGAUUUGAAGUCUGUGAUUACAACUUAUGAGGGAAAGCACAACCAUGAAGUACCUGCAGCCAGAAACAGUAGUCAUGUGAACCCGGGUGCUGGAAAUAUACCACCUGCUGGGCCCAAUGUUCAAACAGCUCUGACAUUGCCGGGAAGCACCAACUUUCCAAAGCCUGAACCACAAAUUCAAGAUCUUGCACCUCGUUUUGAGCGGAAACCUGACUUCGGUAACGAGUUCUUGAGGACCGGUUACCUAGGGGGUUUCUCUAGUGACAUCAAAUUAGGGACUUCUUGUUAUGAACUGAAGCUGCCUCCCUUACAAACUGCCAUGCCUUUCGGGUCUUUUGGACUGAAUCCUAGCCAUGGUGAUGCUCAUCAAAUGGCUUCUAUUGCUCAGCUUCCAGAAUUCCCAAUGUCAUUACCAUUGAGCAGUCUUCCCCGACCUGCAAACUUGGGACUAACGGGAUAUGAUUUCAGUGGGAAGACCAUUGGGCCGACUCAGUCUCUCCUCGGGGUACAACCACCCAAGGAAACUGAUACAAGGUUCCUCAGGCCUAAACAAGAGCAGAAAGAUGAUGCUGCUUAUGACACCCAUGCGCCCAUAAACCAUCUUGGGAAUGCAUCGUCAUCCAUAUAUCGCCAGAUGAUGGGAAGCUAUCCAUUAUAAAUACUUCCUGCUUGUUGAGUUGAGGGUCUUGAUAGGGGUACAUUCGGCACACAUCUUAAAAUUCCAAAGAGAUACGAUUGCUUUUCCUAGUUUGUUUUUUGGUUGUUGUGAUGAUUAAAGAAAAGGUUUCAACUUUGAUACACACAAUAGAUAAGGUAUUACUUGUUGUAUAUACUACAAAGGCCAGUCUCAAUUCUCAACAUUCGAAUAGGGUGGUUUUUACGUUUCUGAACUCGACUUGAUCAGGAUUGAUAUUUACAGGUUUUGGACCGGCUAUUCUUCAGCAUUGGUGAACUCACUUUGGGUAACGGAAAAUAUUUAGGGCAAAUUUAUUGAAGUACCCCUAUGGUUUAGGAGAUUGGCUAACUCUAUCCUUACUGUUUUCUGAUAAUUAUCUAAAACCUCU